AUGCCCUAGGGCUAGUGGAAGACUUAAGAUGGCGGCGUUUGCACGGAGUGCAAUCACUGCGUCCUUACGGGGGUUGCAAGGCGUCCGAAGUAUGAGUCCACUAACAAAAGUCCAGAAACUCGCCAGUUAAUAGUAUUGUGUCUCUUCAAAAUAUCGGAGAAUAAUUUCUUUCUCGCUGAUCGCCUAACUUCUACUGACGAAGCUUGGAAGUUGCAGAAGACAUGAUGUAUUGAGUAAAAGGAACUUCGGUACACAGGCCUUUAGUGAUGUGGUGGUAAGAUGUAUGAUGGAGUUCGCUCUUGUUGCCCAGGCUGGAAUGCAAUGGCAUGACCUUGGCUCACUGCAACCUCUGCCUCCCCAGUUCAAGUGGUUCUCCUGCCUCAGCCUCCCGAGUAGCUGAGAUUACAGGUACUGGCUCCUGUAUCACCCAGCUCUGGAGUUGAAAGAGCUCUUCAUUCCUGAGUCUCCUGUACCACUGAGAAUAGGCUGGAGUGCAGUGGCGCAAUCUCGGCUCUCUGCAACCUUCACCUCCCGUGUUCAAGUGAUUCUCCUGCCUCAGCCUCCUGAAUACCUGAGAUUACAAGCAUGCACCACCACGCCCGUCUAAUUUUGUAUUUUCACUAGAGACGGGGUUUCUCCAUGUUGGUCAGGCUGGUCUCGAACUCCCGACCUCAGGUGAUCCGCCCGCCUCAGCCUCCCAAAGUGCUGGGAUUACAGGCAUGAGCCACCGCGUCCAGCAAGAAUAGGUGAUUUUCAAACUUGGAAACAUUCAGAAGUUAUCGCCUCAGUUUCAGAUUGAGUAGUCUCAAAGAGAUUACAGACAUCUACCACAAAUUCUCUACUUGGUGUGGUGCAAAAUCAGUAUGAUGUAAACUUUGUCUCUCAGUUUCUUCAAAGGAAAGAAGCAACUGGAACACACAUAUAACACUAACCCUUCCAGCUGCAUUAUGAGGGACCAGUACCUGUCUCAAGGCAAAAUUAUGACUUAGUUCAUCCUCACCUCUGGAGGCCAGUAAAAGUGGGUUAUAGAAGAACAAAGAGGCAUCUAGAUCUUUCACUGGGUUAUUUGGAGAGAAACAUCUCCUACCGAAGGCCAGUUUAACAAGACUGGUAGAGGAGGUUAUCUUAUCUAAUUCACAGAAAUCAACACAUUGAGUCAAGAAAAAUGAAACACAGAAACACUCUAAAUAAAAGAAGAUAAGUCUUCAGAAACCAACCCUAAUGAAAUGAAGAUAUGUGAUUAACCUGACAGGAAAUUAAAAAGAGCAACCAUAAAGAGUCUCAUGGGAGCAAUGCAUGAACAAACUGAGAAUUUUCAUAAAGAAAUAAAAGAUAACAAAAAGUAUAAAGUUGAAGAAUACAAUAACUGGACUCAAAAAUUUAAUGUGUCCAACAGAAGAAUCGAUGAAGCAGAAGAAAGGGCUAUCAAACUUGUAGAUAGGCCAUUGGAAAUCAUGUAAUGUGAGGAGAAAAAAGAAAAAAGAUUGAAGAUAGUUUAAGAGACUUUUGAGACAUCCUCAAAGGGGAAUAAUUUAUACAUUACCAGAUGGAGAAGAUAGAGGGAAAAGGACAGAAAACAUAUUUGAAGAAAUAAUGUCAGAAAACCUCAUAAUUCUGGCAAGGAAAUAGAAAUUUAGAUCUAAGAAUCUCGAACAUCAGGUAUGAUGAAUCCAAGGAGACUCACACCAAACCAUAUUGUAAUUAAAUAAAGGUUAAAGACAAUCUUCAGAGCAGCAAGGGAAUAGUCUCUUCUUACAUACAAAAUGAUCCACGGAAGACUGUCAGCAGACUUCACCAGAAAACUUUCACGCCAGAAGGCAGUCGUGAUAUAUACAAAAAGCUGAAAGGAAAA
ensembl:lncRNA JPX JPX transcript, XIST activator